rnacentral:rRNA from 1 species
UNUUUAUAUCUUGNAGCGGCUCAUUAAAUCAUUUAUAAUCUACUUGAUUGUAAAAUCUACAUGGAUAACUGUAGUAAUUCUAGAGCUAAUACAUGCAAAAAAUCCUGACUGUUAUAGAAAGGAUGUAUUUAUUAGGUACAAAAUCAAUGCUGGCACUUGUGUCGGGUUUAUUGAUGAUUCAUAAUAACUAAACGAAGCGCACGACCUUGCGUUGGCGCUGAUACAAACGAGUUUCUGCCCUAUCAACUUUCGAUGGUAGUAUAGAGGACUACCAUGGUUUCNACGGGUAAANGGGAAUCNGGUAUCCGAGGAANGCUUGCACCCCCCUAAUAAACCNAUUGCNGNACGGCUGUUCNUNUUCNUCUUAUGCUUNUNCNCNAUNCUAANUUUCUUCCCUACACGCGUUCACCUGAAAUNCUACUUCCCNAAGGCCUUUGCUACCUCAGGCUUGCCCAUUGNCCUGAACUCCNUGCUGCACCAAUANCGAAAGGAUCUCUUNCGAUNAAA